GAUGAACGCUGGCGGCGUGCCUAAUACAUGCAAGUCGAACGCUGAAGGAAGGAGCUUGCUCUUUCCGGAUGAGUUGCGAACGGGUGAGUAACGCGUAGGUAACCUGCCUGGUAGCGGGGGAUAACUAUUGUAAACGAUAGCUAAUACCGCAUAACAGUAGAUGUUGCAUGAUAUCUACUUAAAAGGUGCAAUUGCACCACUACCAGAUGGACCUGCGUUGUAUUAGCUAGUUGGUGAGGUAACGGCUCACCAAGGCGACGAUACAUAGCCGACAGGAGAGGAUGACCGGCCACACUGGAACGGAGAAAGGGCCAAGAUUCUUCGGGGAGGAACAAGAGGGGAACUUUGGACAAGGACGGAAGUCUGGACGAGGAACGCCGCGGGAGUGGAGGAGGGUUUCGGAUCGUAAAGCUCUGUUGUAAGGGAAGAACGAGUGUGAGAGUAGAAAGUUCACACUGUGACGGUACCUUAACAAAAAGGGACGGCUAACUACGUG
rnacentral:rRNA from 1 species